UGAGGAAUUUUCCGCAAUGGGCGAAAGCCUGACGGAGCAACGCCGCGUGCAGGAUGAAGGUCUUCGGAUCGUAAACUGCUUUUCUCUGGGACGAGAAUGGACGGUACCAGAGGAAUCAGCCUCGGCUAACUACGUGCCAGCAGCCGCGGUAAUACGUAGGAGGCGAGCGUUGUCCGGAGUUACUGGGCGUAAAGCGCACGCAGGCGGUCUGUCGCGUUGGCACUGACAGUUGGUGGCUCAACCACCAAAGGCGUGACAAAACGGACAGACUUGAGGGCUUCAGAGGAAGAGAGAAUUCCGGGUGGAGUGGUGAAAUGCGUAGAGAUCCGGAGGAAUACCAAAGGCGAAGGCACUCUUCUGGGAAGUUCCUGACGCUCAGGUGCGAAAGCUAGGGGAGCGAACGG
rnacentral:rRNA from 1 species